rnacentral:rRNA from 1 species
AACGAACGCUGGCGGCAGGCCUAACACAUGCAAGUCGAGCGCUUCACUUCGGUGAGGAGCGGCGGACGGGUUAGUAACGCGUGGGAACAUACCCUUUUCUACGGAAUAGCCUCGGGAAACUGAGAGUAAUACCGUAUACGUCCUUAACGUCAUAAGGCGACGAGGGGAAAGGCGGGGAUCCUUCGGGACCUGUCGCCUCUGGAUGAGCCCGCGUCCGAUUAGCUUGUUGGUGAGGUAAUGGCUCACCAAGGCUUCGAUCGGUAGCCGGCCUGGGAGGGUGAACGGCCACAUUGGGACUGAGACACGGCCCAG